rnacentral:rRNA from 1 species
GUGCCAGCAGCCGCGGUAAUACGUAGGGGGCAAGCGUUGUCCGGAUUAAUUGGGCGUAAAGCGCACGCAGGCGGUCUUUUAAGUUUUGAGUGACAGGUGUCGGCUCAACUGGCACAGGCCUUGGAAAACUGGAAGACUUGAGGGCUUCAGAGGGACGCGGAAUUCCAGGUGGAGCGGUGAAAUGCGUAGAGAUCUGGAAGAACACCAAAGGCGAAGGCAGCGUCCUGGGAAGCAACUGACGCUCAUGUGCGAAAGCCAGGGGAGCGAACGGGAUUAGAUACCCCCGUAGUCC